CUUUUCCUUUGGAUAGACUUAUUAUGAGUAACCAGCUAGCCAUGGCUACUAUGAAGUCGCCAGGAAAUCUGGAGGAAUGAGGUCGAACGCUGGCAUCCCAUGAGGACUCACUGUCCAUCUGGUUUAUGACAAAAGCAGACUGCCUCAUUCGUCAUCCAGCGCACACUGGAUUCAUGUUCGCUACAUGACAUCGCCUGGGCAAUGGAACCUUCCAGAAGAUGACAAGGAAGAGAGACGUAAAACAUCUCAGCACUACACCUGAAAGAAGAAGUCUGCUGCUUGCCAUGACUCCAGGUACACAAGGUCUGAUGGUCGUGAUCACACCUGGCUUUUGUAUACUGAUGUGUCUGGCCUUCACUGCCACGGUAAGCCCUUUCACAUUGGAUCCCCAAUCCACACUGAUGUGUAGUGGUGUUAACAACCGCAAUCAAA